rnacentral:lncRNA from 1 species
GUCGACCAUCGUAGAAACAUGGAAGGAGCCUGGUUACUAUAGAAAUCUCGUUGUCGGAGAAGCUCGGAUGCUGACGAAGCCCGAAAGAAGUUCAGAGAUAGUCGAUUGCUGUAGAAGGACGGCUAACAGCGAGGCUCAGAGGGCCUUUGGGGCGGCCCGAUGGGUGAACACUGAGGCCCAUCGUCGAAGAAGUCCGGACGACCGAGGGAGUUCGGAGAGACGUCACGUACAAGGUC